UCUAAGGCUGUGUUUGUUUUGGGUGAAAAUAAAAGUUGGAAAACAUUUUACACCAUCAUGUGUGUUUGGGACCACAUGUUAAACUCGUUCAAAGGGAAAAUCAAAUUCUUUGAUCGUAAAAUAAGAGCCCCUCAAGUGUAAAAUAUUUUACACAUUCUAAUUACCUUCAAACAAAAUUUUACGGAUUGAAAAUAGAGAAAGAGAGAGAGAGCAGUGGUAAGGUUGGUCUAGUCUUCGAUCCACCCAAACCCAUCGUUGGUCAAAUCAUGCCGUUCAAUCCCCUCCACGCGCCGGUUGUGUUUUGGUAAAUAUCAUCUUCUUGCUUGCACAUUUGAUUGAAUGGUAUGUCAAAUAAUUUGGUAUGCUAAAAAUAUGUAUGUCAUAAUGCCAAAUUGAGUUUUAAAACUGUUUAUACUAUUGACCACCUAAAGGGUAAGACAUACGUCAUGUUUGUUGGUCGUGUGCCUAGAGUGUACAACACAUGGGAAGAAGCUCAUGCCCAAGUCCAUCAAUAUUCUGGGGCAAACCACAAGGCGUUUAAGCAUAAAUUGGAUGCAUAAAUUUCUUUUAUGAAGUUUUGGCAGAUUGAUGGUGGAAUGUGCAACAAGGUUCUUCAUCCAGUACUCCUUCAACUCCUUUAAUUGAAAAGAGUUCCAGCACAGAAGAUGUUAAAUACAAUUUAUUGAAAUAUCAAUUAGAUAUCGCAAUUGAGCAGCGCAACCAUGCAAUGAAGAUUGCAAAGUUAAAUGCAAGAAUGCUAAACGCAGUGGCAUCUCAAGUCCUGCCCGAUGAUGAGCUCAAUAAAAUGGCACAUCUAAACUUGGGUGAAUGACCAUGAAAGUUGUAUUAGGGUUGUGAUUUUUGUAUGUGGGUACCUCUGUCAUUGUUAUGUAAAACUUGGAUGUGUAUAAUGUUCAUUUUUUUUGUGAUUGGAAUUAAUGGAUGUGCAUGUAUGAUGUGUAUAGGUAUUUUGA